rnacentral:rRNA from 1 species
AUUGAACGCUGGCGGCAGGCCUAACACAUGCAAGUCGAGCGGAGCGGCGGACGGGUGAGUAAUGCCUAGGAAUCUGCCCGGUAGUGGGUGAUAAAGUCCGGAAACGGGCGCUAAUACAGCAUACUAUCAGAGGAGGCUAGGUCGGAUUAGCUGGGUGGGGGGGUAAAGGCCUACCAAGGCGACGAUCCGUAACUGGUCUGAGAGGAUGAUCAGUCACACUGGAACUGAGACACGGCCCAGACUCCUACGUGAGGCAGCAGUGGGGAAUAUUGGACAAUGGGCGAAAGCCUGUUGCAGCCAGGCCGCGUGUGUGAAGAAGGUCUUAGGAUUGUAAAGCACUUUAAGUUGGGAGGCGUUACCAACAGAAUAAGCACCGGCUAACUUCGUGCCAGCAGCCGCGGUAAUUC